UACGUAGGGUGCGAGCGUUAAUCGGAAUUACUGGGCGUAAAGCGUGCGCAGGCGGUUAUUUAAGUCAGGUGUGAAAGCCCUGGGCUUAACCUAGGAAUUGCGCUUGAGACUGGAUAGCUUGGAGUGCGGCAGAGGGAGGUGGAAUUCCACGUGUAGCAGUGAAAUGCGUAGAGAUGUGGGGGAACACCGAUGGCGAAGGCAGCCUCCUGGGCCAGCACUGACGCUCAUGCACGAAAGCGUGGGGAGCAAACAGG
rnacentral:rRNA from 1 species